rfam:Candidatus Methanoperedens sp. DS-2015 MPEBLZ_contig000138, whole genome shotgun sequence.
AUUCGAGAGCAACAUCCACUAAAAUAAGGAUUGAAAC